AAAAAAAAAUUAGACAUCCUAGAAAUAACAAGCUGCUGAUAAAUAUGGCCGUCCGACAUUACUGUUAACGGAGUCUGUUCAUAAGCACUAAACCCUGCGGUUCAGCCUCGUUAUAGGGUGUUAUUGACAAGUUUUAAAACUGUUAUGUUUAUUUACGUUUGUUUACAUUAACAAAUAUGACUACAACUGCAUCAUACGCAACAGAAUGGAAUCUCGAAUCAUCUAUAAGCAGAAGAUCGUCAACAGAAACUGUGUUUAGCAUACAAGAUAGAGAGACUGAUAUUGCGCGCGAUACAAGCGAUACAGAACCGUUCGAAACAGACGGCGAGGGCAUAGAGUACGAGCCGGUCACCGCGUCCGAGCACGAGGCGCCUAUCGAGGAGACCUCCGCCGCCAGCGAGGACGAAAUCAUCAAAACCGAAGUGAUCGAGGUGGCCAUAGGCGACGACGGGGACUUGCAACUAGCCGACUCCGAGUUCACUGAUCAAAACGAAAGCGAUACCGUGUAUAGACGUCACGUAUAUUUGCGUUGCGCGCACUGUGAUGGCAAAAACACCAACCCCGUCUACAGAUAUUGUUACAAAUGUUUCAUUAUGCGUAAAAACUUUUUCCCGCCAAGGCCAAGGAGGAAUAGAAAAAAAUCUAAAGGAAAGUCUUCAGCGAGCUCAACGACUACGAGCGUUACGUGUUCUAUAGGCGGGCUCAGUCAGGGCACGGAUGUCGGGUACUACUCGGGCGCGACCGCGCUGUCCGGCGGCUCCAGCCAGGCCGAGCCCCGCGCGGCGCUGAAGCGGCGCGCCUCCUCCGACCUCUCCCACUCGAGCAAGAAGCCGCGCUGCCCCUCCGACAGCGGCACCGAAGUCGGCACCGACACCGACGACGAGCCUGUGCAACCCCUCAUGAAAACGAAAUUGAGCAGGAAAGUGGAUGAUAGUGUGUCAUCCCAGGUCAUCAGUGCGUUGCAAUCUCACUGAUCGUAACGCAGCAUGAGCAUGGUUUCACCAAGGCGCUUACCUUGUUGAGUGACAACCUGUACUUUGUCCUGGCACUUCAAUGUGACCACAUAACGUAUGGUAAGUACUCAGUAGGGUCACAAUAUUUGAAUAUCGACCACACUGUAGUUAUUUGAUGUGGGAAUAUUUUUGCAUCAGGCUAGAUAUCGAACACCGUGCGAUGGUGAUGAACUAGCCAUAGUAGCUAGUUCCAAUGAGUCGCAUUCCGGGUUCACUCGGCAUAAUUCUAGUGACCGGCGAGGAAUGUCAUUCCUUACUUACAUUGCUGGACUGCAAUGUAUACUCUUAACACUGGAACACUAUUGUGUUCUGAAUGAAGAAUGUUUCAGUCAAUUGCUGAGAAUGAUGAGACUUCACUGCUAAUGUCUCGGAAUGGCGAACGCCGUUCAGUAGCAUGCAGAACUUUAUAAUUAUAAGUUCUUUGUGAAAUUGCUACUGUUUAUUGGCAGUCACCGCUCGCCAUCAGUUCAGCGAAUUGACCAGUCAUUCAGCUAUAAAAAACAUGAAUAUUACGUGCACAGAACUGGAUUCUAUAAAUUGUGAAAUAUUGCAUCUAAAUCCUUUCAGCUACACCACUAUCAAGGAAACAUGGGUUUUCAGUGAUCCCUCGAGCAGGUGCCAUGACAGUCCAUAAGGAAGCCUUCAGUUGCCAGCGACAACCAUGCCAAUGCGAUCAUUACUACAAUGCCAUUGACCGAUUCUGGGCACAAAUGCCUGAAAACUAGA
rnacentral:misc_RNA from 1 species